AGAGGAAUAGCUGGAUCAAUGGUGGUUUCAUACCCAAUUUUCCAAGGAAUCUCCAUACUGCUUUCCAAACUGGCUGCACCAAUUUGAAGUCCCACCAGCAAU
rnacentral:pre_miRNA from 1 species